AAGCAAGCAAGCCAGCAAGCACAGGAGCACACUCUCGUGGAGGCCCACACCCUCCCUGUGCCUACCCAAGAUGUGUCAGUCAGAGAAGCAUCCAGGACCGGAGCUCCAAGCAGCAGCAAAAUGGGGCUCCAAGGCCUUUGGUCAGGCUGCUGCUGUACUUAGAGGUUCCUAGGAGUUGUUCCUGAGCUGCUGCCCACUCAGCCUGCCGGCAGGUUGUACUUUCCCCAGCUGGCCCUAUGGCGGAGGCUAGGCCAGCUGAGCUGCAUGUCCAGACCUGCUCUGAAUCUGCGCUCCUGGCUGCUGACCAUCCUCCACUACCUCCUGCCCUUCCGUGUGCUCGGGCCCCACAGCCAGGUGGGAUGGAGGCCCCUGAGCAGGGUGUUCCUGUAUAAAACUGUGCCAACGAGUUUGCUGUCAUGUGCCUGUGGUCGCCUCAACAAAGUAGAACUUCCUUACUGGCUCUGGAGGCCAGUCUACAGCCUGUAUAUCUGGACCUUUGGGGUGAACAUGACUGAGGCUGCAGUGGAGGACCUGCACCACUACCGCAACCUCAGCGAGUUUUUCCGGCGUAAGCUGAAGCCUCAGGCACAGCCUGUCUGAGAUUUGUACUGUGUGGUAAUGCCUGGCCCUUGUCUCCAUUCUUCAUUAGGAAAUGAAAC
rnacentral:lncRNA from 1 species